GUCCGGUUCGCAUGCACAAAGGUGACAUUGGGUCACACCCAAGGGAGAGAGGCGGGAGAGAGGAAACCCAGAUCACGUGGAGAGUGCCAGUAAUUGCGGAUCAGCCUCAGGAAUGGAGAUGUACGAUGUACUUCAAUCCCUUUCUGCCUUUUCACCGGGGGUGUUUUAAGCCUCCCUCCCGCCUCAAUUGGUUAACGGAGGGUAACCAAACGCUAGCCGGUAGACUGAUAAUGUCAACACAUGACGCGGCGAAGGUAGAUCUCAGAUUUCUAGGUGGGGAAAAGGAGAGAGAGGAAGAGACAGAGGCGCCAAAGGUUCCUGUCCAGAGAGACGGAAACUGGAAGAGGACGAACAAGACAGAGUAAAUGUCUUGAUUAAUUUAAAACUUAGUUGUAAUUGCUUCUUUGCCAAUGAUAGUCUACGGAAUUGUGAAGUCCAUACAUUUGCAGCAAUUUAAGACCCCAGGAUGUGAGGUGGUCCCAGGAGAAGAAUCAUCAUGGAAACGAAGUGGAAACUGACCAGUGGACUCAGACACCACUCAGUGCCAACAGUGGGGGGAUAGAACAGACAGAGCUAACUUUGGGGACCAGGGAGGAGAGUCACGGCCGACCUGCAGUUCUGAACAGGAACCCCAACCAGACCCGGUUCACAUCCUCCCUUUCCUUCAGACUCUCCUCUCAACACAGCAAGAAAAACGACCUGGAAAAACUAGAGUCCACAGCUCAGAGGGAACACUGUCUACACAGGUGAGACAGAGCAUUUUUAAAGCUAGAGUUUAUUGCCUUAGUUAUGGGAUUUUGCAUUAUACAGUGAUGCAUUUUUUUAUUGCCCCUCUCUUAGACACUAUCCUUCUUUUACCAUCUAUGUAUGUGUACAGACAGAAUUGCACCAACACGGCUCCAUAAAUCAAUAUGGUUUAACCAAGGUUAAUUAGUUCCUUGGACUGCUGUACUGAGGAAAUACUUCAGAUUGAUUUCUUAGGUGUGUGUGUGUGUGUGUGUGUGUGUGUGUGUGUGUGUGUGCAUGAUUCUGUGCGCGCGUGUGUAAUAUGUGUCAGGGAUGAAUGCAACUCUUAUCAGUACGAGUCAUUUAUCAAACACUGUCCCUUAGUAACAGACGACCUUUACCUGGCUGUAUUGUCACCUAUCCAUGUCAGCUCUUAAGACUGAGGCUACACACCUCUCAACAUCAACUUCUAUACUAGCACUGUGGCCCUGUGUUUGUGUGUGAUGUCUUUAUUACAAGUGUGAUGUUAAGGCAUUCAGUUAAUAGUUCCACUAUUGCUAACAUAGCCCAGGCAACACCACUGGAAGUAGUCGGGGGCGGGGGUGCUGCUGUGAUGUUUUCCACGCAGAAAGAAAAACAUUGCCUCUGCUGAAGAUGUCUAUAUGUGGUCUGCUAAAACAGGACUAUUAAAGGCCCUGUUUACUAACUAAAUGUACUUGUAGUUGAGUGUUUACCAGCAUUUGUAACUUCUGAGUUUGAUAAUUAUCUGCACCAAACAGUUAAUCUGAUUAAUACUGUUGGAAUAUAAAAAUAGUUGCUUGAUAUGUUUUCCAGUUUCUUGAAAUACUUUGCAAAUGCAACUUAUUUCUUUGUGAACUGAAAUGGUCUAUUCAUUCCUUUUCAGUAGACACUCUUACCCAGAGCAACUUACAGUAGGGAGUGCAUACAUUUUCAUAGUUUUUCGUACUGGUCCCCUGUGGGAAUCAAACCCACAACCCUAGCAUUGCAAGCGCCAUGCUCUACCAAGUCAGCCACAUCAUCACAAACCACUUGAUGUCUCAAUGUACUCAAUUACUCUACUGUACAUUGUUUUUCUUCAUGGUGAUGGAAAGUCUAGUUACAAUCCUAGAUGACCAGCUUGUGUACAAUACAGUAAUGUACAUUAUGUGGUUUGUAACGAUGGUAAAUUAAUACUGCACAAAAAGUGGUUGUUUUCCAUGUUAUUUGAUGAAUAAAAACAUUUACUUUCGUAUGGAUGUUUUGUGUCUUUGCCCAUAACUUUGCACCUUUUCGAUGUAAACAUUUGAGGACAGGAUUGAGUUAUUUCUGGAUUCCAUUAGAAUGACUAUUGCAGAGAAAGGGACAGGGCAACAACUCUUACAUUCCCAAGUAUUGAAUCUAGCAAAAGACUCUUCUUAAUUAUACAACUUUUUUUGCUGGUAAAAAAAAUGUUUUGCUCAUGCUACAGGCAUCUAUAUCAGUCUGCUAAUACUAGUAAAGGCCCAGUGCGCUACUUUUGUGAAAAUGUUUUAAAUAUUCAAUAUUUUUUUAAUUAAAAUAUAUUUAGAAUUCAGAUUUGAGGGGUUUAUGGGCAUAUUGUUGUAUAUGCUCCCAUUGCUCAACACUCACACGCCCUGCUGACUGAUAUACCAGCUAAAACACCAAUACAGACAGCGACCUGAUAACAAUCUAACAUAAAUAUGCCCAUAACUCCCACAAUGCUGUUACACCCCUACUUCCCGCGGCUAUGAGCCCAGGUAAACAUAAAUCAUGUAAAAAGGGAGAGCUGGAGGAUAGACAAGAAGGAGAUAAUGAGCAAUGGAGGUCAAGAGAGAAGAUGGAAUGUAGUUGAUCCUGUGGAUCAGGGUGAAUGAAAAACUUGUGACACCUAUAAUCUUUACAAAAACAUUAACACCCAGGAGGUGUGUCUGCAUGCUUGUGUGUCUUAUGUAUUAUGGUAUACAGUGCAUUCGGAAAGUAUUCAGACCCCUUGGCUUUUUCCACAUUUUGUUAUGUUACAGCCUUAUUCUAAACUGGAUUCAAUCACUUUUUUCCCCUCGUCAAUCUGCCCACAAUACCCCAUAAUUACAAAGCAGAAAUUGGUUAUUUUUUAUAUUUUAUUUUGAAAAUUUAUUCAACUUAAAACACAUCAAAUUUACAUAAGUAUUCAGACCCUUUUACUUAGUACUUUGUUGAAGCACCUUUGGCAGCAAUUAUAGCCUUGAGUCUUCUUGAGUAUUCUUCUCUGCAGAUCCUCAAGCGCUGUCAGGUUGGAUGGGAAGCGUCGCUGCUCAGCUAUUUUCAGGUCUCUCCGGAGAUCAAAUCAAAUUUUGUCACAUGCUCCGAAUACAACAGGCCUUACCGUGAAAUGCUUACUUACAAGCCCUUAACCAACAAUGAAGUUCAAGAAAUUGAGCUAAGGAAAUAUUUACUAAAUAAAGAAAAAAAUUGAAUAAAAGUAACAUAAUAAAAUAACAAUACUGAGGCUAUGUACAGGGGCUACCAGUACCGAGUUAAUGGGGUAAAGUGAUAAUGCAUAGAUAAUAAACAGUGAGUAGCAGCAAGGGGGAGGGGGGGUCAAUGUAAAUAGUCCGGGUGGCCAUUUGAUUAACUGUUCGGCAGUCUGUUGGCUUGGGGGUAGAAGCUGUUCAGGAGCCUUUUGGACCUAGACAUGGUGCUCCAGUACUGCUUAUUGUGCGGUAGCAGAGUGAAUGGUCUAUGACUUGGGUGACUGGAGCCGUUAACCAUUUUUGGGGCCUUCCUCUGAUACCACCUAGUAUAUAGGUCCUGGAUGGCAGGAAACUUGGCCCCAGUGAUGUACUGGGCCGUAUGUACUAGUCCACGUUCAUCUCCUGUGUCUUGCUCACUUUGAGGGAGAGGUAGUUGCCCUGGCACCACACUGCCAGGUCUCUGACCACCACAUUAUAGGCUGUCUCAUCUUUGUUGGUGAUCAGUCCUACCACUGUUGUCGUUAGCAAACUUAAUGAUAGUGUUUGAGUCGUGCAUGACCAUGCAAUCGUGGGUGAACAGGGAGUACAGGAGGGGACUAAGCACGCGGGGCUCCCGUGUUGAGAAUCAGCGUGGCAGAUGUGUUGUUGCCUACCCUUACCACCUGGGGCCGGCCUGUCAGGAAGUCUAGGAUCCAGUUGCAGAGGAGGUGGUGUUUAGUCCCAGGGUCCUUAGCUUAGUGAUGAGCUUUGUGGGCACUAUGGUGUUGAAUGCUGAGCUGUAGUCAAUGAACAGCAUUCUCACAUAGGUGCUCCUUUUGACCAGGUGAGAAAGGGCAGUGUGGAGUGGGAUUGAGAUCUGUUGGAGCGGUAUGCGAAUUGGAGUCGGUCUAAGGUAGUCUGCAGGAUCCUGUUGCUGUGAGCCAUGACCAGCCUUUCAAAGCACUUCAUGGCUACCGACAUGAGUGCUACAGGGCAGUAGUCAUUGUUACCUUCGCUUUCUUGGGCACAGGGACUAUGGUGGUCUGCUUUAAACGUAGGUAUUAGACUCAGUCCGGGAUAGGUUGAAAAAUGUCAGUGAAGACACUUGCCAGUUGGUCCGCACAUGCUCUGAGUACACAAUCUGGUAAUCAGUCUGGCCCCGCGGCCUUGUGAAUGUUGACCUUUUUAAAGGUCUUGCUCACAUUGGCUACGGAGAGCGGGAUCACACAGUCGUCCGGAACAGCUGGUGCUCUCAUGCAUGCUUCAGUAAUACUUGCCUCGAUGCAAGCAUAAAAGGCAUUUAUCUUGUCUAGUAGGCUCACGUCACUGGGCAGCUUGCGGCUGGGUUUCCCAUUGUAGUCCGUAAUAGUUUGCAAGCCCUGCCACAUCCGAUGAACAUCAGAGCCAGUGUAGUAAGAUUCAAUUCAAUCUUAGUCCUGUAUUGAAGCUUUGCCUGUUUGAUGGUUCGUCUGAGUGCAUAGCAGGAUUUCUUAUAAGCGUCUGGCUUAGUGUCCCGCUCCUUGAAAGCACGUGUGACAUGCUGGUAGAAAUGAUUUCAAUUUCAAAGUCCCCGACCACUAGGAAUGCCACUUCUGGAUGAGCAAUUUCUUGUUUGCUUAUUGCCUUAUACAGCUUGUUGAGUGCGGUCUUAGUGCCAGCAUCGGUUUGUGGUGGUAAAAGACAGCUACCAAAAAUAUAGAUGAAAACUCUCUUGGUAGAUAGUGUGGUCAACAGCUUAUCAUGAGGUACUCUACCUCAGGCAUUCAAACGGGUUCAAGUCCGAGCUCUGGCUGCACCACUUAAGGACUUUGGCUGCGCCACUCCUGUGUUGUCUUGUCUGUGUGCUUAGGGUCGUUGUCUGUUGGAAGGUGAACGUUCUCCCCAGUCUGAGAACCUGCUCCAGAGUGCUCAGAACUUCAUCAAGGAUCUCUCUGUACUUUGCUCCAUUCAUCUUUCCCUCGAUCCUGACUAGUAUCCCAGUCCCUUCAGCUGAAAAACAUACCCACAGCAUGAUGUGGACACCACCAUGCUUCACUGUAGGGAGGAUGCCAGGUUUCCUCCAGACGUGACGCUUGCAUUCAAGCCAAAGAGUUCAAUCUUGGUUUCAUCACACCAGAAAAUCUUGUUUUUCAUGGGCUGAGUCCUUUAGGUGCCUUUUGGCAAACUCCAAGCAGGCAGUCAUGUGCCUUUUACUGAGGAGUGGCUUCUGUCUGGCCACUCUACCAUAAAGGCCUGAUUGGUGGAGUGCUGCAGAGAUGGUUCCCCUUCCGGAAGGUUCUCCCAUCUCCACAGAGGAACUCUAAAGCUCUGUCCAAGACCCUUUCCCCCCGAUUGCUCAGUAUGGCCGGGUGGCCAGCUGUAGAAUGAAUCUUGGUGGUUCCAAACUUCUUCCAUUUAAGAAUGAUGGAGGCCACUGUUGUUUGGAACUUUUGAUGAUGCAGACAUUUUUUGGUACCCUUCCCCAGAUCUGUGCCUCGACACAAUCCUGUCUCUGAGCUUUACAGACAAUUCCUUCAACCUCACUGCUUGGUUUUUGCUCUGAAAUGCACUGUCAACUGUGGGACCUUUUUUAUAGACAGGUGUGUGCCUUUCCAAAUCAUGUCCAAUCAAUUGAAUUUACCACAGGUGGACUCCAAUCAAGUGUAGAAACAUCUCAAGGAUGAUCAAUGGAAACAGGAUGCACAUGAGCUCAAUUUUGAGUCUCAUAGCAACGGGUCUGAAUACAUAUGUAAAUAAGUUCUCAGGGACCUGUAAGGGACACACCUAUAGCUCAAGCACAGGUGAAAAGAGAAGUCUCACCAUCAUAUUAUUUUGUACCAGCCAAUUGCCCUUCAGACGAAGAGGAAGUGACAUUGCUUCCUUUUAAAGAGGAAGAGGAUUCCAAGACAGCCAUGUUGUCCUCCACGCUGGUGUCGGUUCUCGCCCCACAGUGGAGUGGGAGAAUACGCAGGAACAAGCGGGGCAUGGCCGGUACAGACAUUGGUGUGUUUGGCAUGGCAACCAGUGAGUCUGGACAGGAGAUCCAAGGUAACGGACAGGAAGUGAGUGAGGGGGGUGUGCUUUUGAAGCCGCAAGUCCCUCUCGAGACAGACUCUGUAGGACAACGACAACAACAACAGUUUCUGGAAACCCAGAACCAACGUGUUGGGGAGAGGGGGUUGACCCUUGGAUCACAAGUCCAUGAGAGGGCUUCAACACUGGGUAGCAGCAGAAGCACAGUGGGGGGCUGGUAUGAGGGAAGCACCCCCAGCCUCAAACUGGACAACCCAACAAAGGCCCCAGUUUCUAAGCCUGUCUCUCUGGAUGUGAGUUGGGGGAGGCUGGCCAACAGAGGCGGAGGGGGGGGAGCUGUUUCCCCUGUUACUCCCAGCUCUCCCCUCUCUCCCGACCUGCAUGUACGCAAAGGAAUGUUACAGGCAAGUCGUCAAGGAGCCCAGACAUCAUUGCUGAGUUCCAAACCAACAACCAGUAGCCUUCUUUUCUCUCUGAGAAGGCUCAACACUAUUGCGAGCUCUAUCCACUCAGAGACAAAUAUCUCAUCUCUAACCAAUGACAGAGAUGGAGAGACUUCAAGUCCACACCUCUCUCCAACCACAACCAAUUACAAAGCAUCAGAGACAAUUAGGGCACAUCUUUCCUUAACCUCAUCCAAUGAUGGAGCCAGAGAGAGGUCCAAGUUCCUCCCCUAUUCAGCUGAUCCCACUUACAGGACAAUAGAGAGGUCAAGGCACCUCCCCUUACCAACUUCCAAUCACAGAGAAGCAAAUACACACAGGACACAACUAUUUUCAACCUCGCCCAAUUACAAAGACACAGAGGGCACACCCUUUACCAAACUUCCCCAGACUUCCAGGGCGUAUCCCAACCGAACCUCCCCCAGGAAGCAGACUCUUCUGUUUAGUGGUCUAGAGAGACUUUCCCCCUCAGAGAGACCAGAUGGAACCACGGUUCCCAUCAGUGAUACUCAUCUACCUUCCUCUCCACCGUCCCAAUAUGACCACCUGGAUUUUCAUGGGAGCCAGUCUCUUCCCAGAGGAACCACCCUGAGAUCUACUAGCUGGAGAAAGCACAUUACUCUGAAGGACAGUGUGUCUAAUCCCAGUUCCCCCCUCAGUCCCACUUCCACCACCACUAUCAACAACAACAACAACACAUUCAGCCUCUCAAGCACUUCCAGCAAUAAUAACACGGAUCCCUCUAGCACCAAUGAUAACACUGGUGUCAAUCCCCAAAUCACCAUCAAUAACAACAAUAAUUUAGUCACCCCCAACAAUACCAACCUAAACAGCAAUACUGUCACUGGCAAACACACACCUCAGAGCACCCUUAAAAGGACUUAUGCUCAAGAUAUCCCAGACCAGGAUUCCUAUAGAAUACUCAAAACUCAGAAUUCCCUUAACUCGAAUGACCGACAAUCACAAAAGCCCUAUUGUUUGUCCAAUAUCUCCUUCAGGUCUAACACCAGUAGCCCAGCUAGCUCGAGCACUUUGAGUAACCCAAUAAAGUCCAGCAAGCCUGAUCGCUACAGUAGGCCAUGUAGUUAUGACACCAUCUACACCCCUCUGACCGUAUUUAGCCCCAAGACUCCAACCAGCUCUGAAACCAGUGACACUCCAUCCUCCCUCAGUAGUCAUAGAACCCUUUAUUUGUCCCAUUCCCCGAACCCCUCUUCCAGACAGCUCUCCUUACAAACCAGUAUCGCCUCCACAUCACUCAGUAGACACAGACCCCUCUAUAGUUCCCGCUCACUCAAUACCGCCAGCUCUAUAAGACAAGACCCCCAAAACAGCCCAAAAUCUCCACCCCCAGUCGUCAGAAGCCAGAUUCCCAUAGUGAGUAACAUCCACACCCCCACAUCCCAACUGCAGUCCCCUAAAACUGCUUACACGCCUACCACAACUCCCCAACCACUCCUACUUAAAACCGGCUACGUCCCCAGUAUCCCGACCCGCUACACCCGACCGUUGUCUCCAGACAGCUAUACCCCCAUAUCCCUGAGUAUCCCCACCACCCAGGCCCCCUCCACCCUGCCCCUCUCCCCACCUAGCUCGUCCCCUCUGGUGGAAAGGACGUUCAUAGGCAGCCUAGACCUCUCGCCUAAGAAACACCAGCCCCAAGUGGAAGGGAGGGUAACAGCACAUAGAGCGUGGCAGGAGUCACAACUAAGGCUGUCACAGUCUCAUUCACCUCAGAGUCCUCUGUCCCCAACCAGACCCCUCCGUAGUGUAGGGGGUCCCGCCAUCUUCUCCUCCCUGAGAUCGGGCAGCCCAACCUGGGCUACGUCACCUCUGUCUCCCCCAACCCUCAGGACCACCAAACUACAAGUUUGGAGGGGAACCUCGAUGCAUAACUUAUCCAUAAUAUCUGAUACAUUGGUGAAGGAGGGAGGGCAAGCUCUCUCAGAGCAUGUUAGCGACCACACUUCAAACGUCACAGUCAAACACACAGGAAUUGACUCGACCGUAAUAGGAUCACAGAGGAAGACCGCUGCCCCUCUCUCCCUUCCAGAAUUUGGGAGCUUUUCCAAGCCACGAUUUAGCUCCCCGCCCUAUUCCACACUCAAGUCUUCACGCCCAACACAGGGUGAGGUCACACACACAACAUCACACCAACCCCUUCUCUCACCCCCUACCUCACCCCAACACUGCCCCUUCUACGGCCAUCACAGGGCUAGGUCACAGGACAGUUCAAAGAUUGUUGCCUUGGAAAUUGAUCGUGUCAACAACAACUCCAAAGAGACCAGUCAAGAAAAUGUUGAGACACUUGUGUACAGGAUUUCUAAAGUUGAUUCCUCUGCCAUAUUGGACAGUAUUAGGCCUGCACAGCCCUGCUUUCCUCGACGCAAACCAGACACACGAGUCGUCACAGGGAUAAAGUCCAAUGAACUCUGCCGUCUACCUUCACAACACAGCCAGGUGAUUGGAAGUCCCAGCUGUCAAUCAUCCCAAAGCUCCAAUGACAGUGGAGCAUUAGACAUUGAGAAGGUUGUGUGUAAAAGCGAGAGUUUCCCUAAGAGUGCAGCGGCUCCAUUACAAACCCAGAGCCCAAAGAAAGGCUUAUUCUCACUGAGAGGUAAGAGAGACAAUGUUGUUGGUACGCCUGCUACCAAUAUCCCUAGAAACCCAGCGAUGCCUCAGUCUGAGAAACCAAAGAAAGAGUCAGAGAAGGAGCAAAAGGAAAGUAACAAAAUAGACCUGGUGCUGAGUCGACUCCGGCAGACCUUCAGAGUCAAACGUCUCGAUGACGAGAGGAUGAAGAGAACACCCCAGCCUCCUCCUGUCAAUGGAGCCAGUGACAUUAGUGAUGUCACAGAGAGUAGUGGUUCUAGCAAUCAAGAAGAGGAGGAAAAAUGGAGGGAGAAUGAUGGCGUUCACAAACCUUCAAACUCUUUCUGGGCUGGCAGUGAGCACACGUCAGAUUUGAUGAAGGAAAAUGUUAGACGUGAACACUCACAGUUUGAGGGUUUUAAAGACCAUAAAGAGGCUAGAAACAGAGACCAGCCUUGUGUUAUGGAUCUUCCUCAAUUUGAGGCUUACAAGGACGAAAGGAUCACUAAACCCAAACACCAACCUUCUAGUAGCGAGAUCAGCCCAACAAGGCGGCAGUUUGAAGCUUACAAAGAGGAGAGGAUCAGUAGAGCCAGAAAGCAACCUCCUCAGAGAGACUUCAACUCUGUUAUGCGUCAACCCUGGGACCCCAGCCGCUCUGCAACCCUCCCUGCCUACAGAACCUCCUCAGGCAGCACCAGAAACACUUUCUCUGUCUUCCACUUCAGCCAGAAGGACUCUGAGAACGAUAACGUGUUCCACAUUCCCAGGAUUCCUCAGAGGAAGAAGACCACCUCUCUCUGUGAGCCAGGGGACAGGGAGUUCGGUUCCGGUGAUCAGCGUGGCAGUGAGGGACGUCUGGCAUCCUUCUCCUCCUGUGCUGAUCUCAAAUACGGUCUUGAGGCUGGGCGUUCCUUCUCUGUGACUUCUGUGCUCUCCAGCCGACCUUCGGGUCCUGGACGCAUCUCCUCAAGCCCUAGGGUCAGCAGUGUCAGUGACCUCACUUACCCUGCUCUGACCUUUGGAGAAGAGGUCAUGACUUGGGAUGACUGUAGGGUCAAAGGUGAUUGGACAAUACCAAGGUGGGACACACACACAACAACUGGCCACAAAACCAUAGGUGACAGCCAAGCUGUAAAUGACUGGUCUGUCGUUAGUGACAGGACAUCCAGAAAUGAGUGCAAAACAAUCAAAGCUAAUUUUAUAAAUCCACACAAGGCUAGAUCUAAAUCCCUACCCAGAAAUGUAUCCUGGAGUUCAGAGGUCACCGCCCCAUCUCCAACCUCUACCACCACUGGCCGCAUGUGGAACCAUGGCAGCCUGGAGACCUCUCACUCCCUGUGGGAUACAGAGGGUCCUCCAACCCCCCCUCCGUCCCCUCCCUGGUCCCCAGCCUCCAGACGCAUAUCUCGCCCUCCCAGCUCCUCCUCUGCCUCGCCCUCCCCCACAGACAGCAGGGCAUCACAGGACAGCCUGUCCCCUAGGGGGCGCCUACCCUCCAGGGGCUAUGUCUCCAACCUGGCAGUCUUUGAGGAGUCUGACUCAGGCUCUGACAUGGACUCUGACACAACCACAGAUGAUGAAUACUACCUGGCAGGUGAUGGCGGUGAGAAGGAGACUGAACUGUGAGAAGAAAUACUGUAUGGGAUGCAUCUCAAUAUUCUAAAGUGGGUCUGUCUGUCUCCUUUUGGUCUCCUUAUAUAGAAAUGAUACUUAUUUACACACCUAUUUAUGCUCACUAAAACAGACUUGUUAAGUGUGCAUGGCUCUGGGCCUCCCGAGUGGUGCAGUGGUCUAAGGCACUGCAUCGCGGUGCUAGCUGUGCCACUAGAGAACCUGGUUAGAGUCCAGGCACCUGUCCGCGACCGGGGGACCCAUGACGCGGUGCACAAUUGGCCCAGCGUGGUUUGGGUUAGGGCAGGGUUUGACAUGCCGGGAUGUUCCUGUCCCAUCGUGCACUAGCGACUCCUGUGGUGAGCCGGGUGCACACUGUCACAGUCUCCAGGUGUACGGCGCUUCCUCCGACACAUUGGUGCUUCUGGGUUAAGCGGGCAUUGUGUCAAGAAGCAGUGUCGGCUUGGCUGGGUUGUGUUUCAGGGGACGCUUGAGUUGCAGCGAUGGGACGAGACUGUAACUACCAAUUGAAUACCAUGAAAUUGGGGUGAAAAAGGGGUAAAAUAAUGAAAUCAAAUAAAAAGUGCAUGGCUGACAGUAAAGAAGUCAGCACUGUCAGAUCACAGGUUAAUGUCAUGCUCUUAUCCUGGGAUCCAAAGAGCAGCCCACAUGAACUCUACACCAUAUCCAAGAGCAUGGCACUCUGUUUUUUUGUCAUGUCACAGGUUGCUUGGUUACUUGACUUUCUCAUGUCUGAUAUUUGUUUAGUUAUCAGUGGGAAGUGUACUGUAUAUGCUAGGUUAAAGGUAUUUAUGAACAAAGAGAUCUAGCUAUAAAGCUAUCCUAUCCUGUUUUAUUACUUCUGCAGCUGUUCUAACCAUGGCCUUUAUUCACAAAGUGUAUCAGAGUAGGAGUGCUGGUCUAGGAUCAGGUCCCCCCUGUACAUAUGAUCAUAUUCAUUGUGAUCUGAAGCCAAAACUGAUCUUAGGUGAGCACUCCUAAACUAAGACUCCUUGUGAAUACUGACCCUGUUGUGGUAGAGUCCUGUACCCGGGUGAGAGGUAUACCUACCAUACUCAGUUUGGCUGGGGUCACAUUUCAUUGUCAAGUGCUGCCUAUCAAUAUGCUUUAAGCUAGCUUGCUAUAUGAUAUGCAAGAUGAAUAUCUUUGAAUGUUUUAAUUCUCAUGGAAAUCAGUAUUUUCUAUUUUGGUUGUCUUGGAAGGUUUUCCUGAAAUGCAUAUGUGUGCAUUAUAAACAGAUGAUUGUUAUAAAAAAUGUGUGAAUUACUUUUUGUGCAAUUCAACAGUUGUUUUUGGAUCAAGUAUAUGGUAAAUAUAUUUUGAAUGAACAAUAAACCAGUUCUAAUUCUGUAUCUGCCCCUUUGUAUUUUAUAAAUAUAUAUAUAUAUAUUAUAUAUCAAACUGUUAUGCCCAACUAUCAUAUCUAACCAAAGACUGUGUGCUGUGACAUUAGUGUUUUGACUUUCCCCUUGGAUACCUGAAUAGUUAUGCCUGCCACCAACACCACAAGAGCAUUCCUACCAAACCACAUUCCAACUAUACUAAUGAACCUAGACUAACAAUACUGAACACAAUGCCUUAUUACAUACUUGCUGAUUUAAAUAGUGCA
ensembl:lncRNA